AGAUGCAUGUUGCAGUGCCCAUCAGUAGAAGUCAGCUUCUUACCUCUCAUAGUGAAUACAGUUGCUCUGCCUGAUGAAUUAAGCUACAUAUGUACACAUGGGGAAGACUGGGAUGUAGCUUACAUUAUUCAUCUUUAUCCUUCUCUCACUUUGCGGAAUCUUCUCCCAUAUUCCCUAAGAUAUUUACUUGAGGGAACAGCAGAAACUCAUGAGCUGGCAGAAGGCAGUACUGCUGAUGUUCUGCAUUCGAGAAUCAGUGGUGAAAUAAUGGAAUUAGUCCUGGUGAAAUACCAGGGCAAAAACUGGAAUGGACAUUUCCGCAUACGUGAUACACUUCCAGAAUUCUUUCCUGUGUGUUUUUCUUCUGAUUCCACAGAAGUGACGACAGUCGACCUGUCAGUCCACGUCAGGAGAAUUGGCAGCCGGAUGGUGCUGUCUGUCUUUAGUCCCUAUUGGUUAAUCAACAAGACUACCCGGGUUCUCCAGUAUCGUUCAGAAGAUAUUCAUGUGAAACAUCCAGCUGAUUUCAGGGAUAUUAUUUUAUUUUCUUUCAAGAAGAAGAACAUUUUUACUAAAAAUAAGGUACAAUUAAAAAUUUCAACUAGUGCCUGGUCCAGUAGUUUCUCAUUGGAUACAGUGGGAAGUUAUGGGUGUGUGAAGUGUCCUGCCAACAAUAUGGAGUACCUGGUUGGUGUUAGCAUCAAAAUGAGCAGUUUCAACCUUUCACGAAUAGUUACCCUGACUCCCUUUUGUACCAUUGCAAACAAGUCAUCAUUAGAACUAGAAGUUGGCGAGAUUGCAUCUGAUGGCUCAAUGCCAACUAAUAAAUGGAACUAUAUUGCUUCUUCAGAGUGCCUUCCAUUUUGGCCAGAAAAUUUGUCAGGCAAACUUUGUGUGAGAGUGGUGGGCUGUGAAGGAUCUUCCAAACCAUUCUUUUAUAACCGACAGGAUAAUGGCACUUUAUUGAGCUUAGAAGAUCUGAAUGGGGGUAUCUUGGUGGAUGUAAACACUGCCGAACAUUCAACUGUCAUAACUUUUUCUGAUUACCAUGAGGGAUCUGCACCUGCCUUGAUAAUGAACCAUACACCAUGGGACAUCCUCACAUACAAACAGAGUGGGUCACCAGAAGAAAUGGUCUUGCUGCCAAGACAGGCUCGACUUUUUGCCUGGGCAGAUCCUACUGGUACCAGAAAACUUACAUGGACAUAUGCAGCAAAUGUUGGGGAACAUGAUCUGUUAAAGGUAUCAUUUGAUGUGAAUGAGUGCUAUAUGAGUUACCUGAUAGUGAAGGAAGUAGAGAAGCUAUCUUCACUGACUCCUUGUCCUAACUGAACUAAAAGUGAAUUGGAAGUAUUUCCAGAAUAAGUAGCUUUUGGACUUUAGAUGGCAAAUACUGUAGUUCAAACCAGUAUAUUACCUUAGAUCUAUCAAAGUAAUUUAUUUACAAUUUAAAACAUAGACCUGCUUUAUCUUGCCUAUGUAAAGCACCUUUUUAAUUAAUUUACCUAUUUUAAAAGGAAGGAAUUGUAAGACUAAGUUAAAAACAACUUUAUUUUGAACAUACCUAUGCCACUUUUGGCUAUGAGUUUUUAAAGCUUGUUUUCCUAAGCACAGCUAUGUAUUUUGUUAAUUAAUGAAGUCUGAUAGUAUGCAAAUUAUCGCAUAUAAGAAAUUUAGUGAAAUAUUUAUCGAAACAAUAUUUAGGUAGCUGAGUUGAUUAAAUAUAUUAUUUUUUAGACUCAGCCUCUGAAAGGGCCCAAAGAAUUCAUAUACCAGCCUCCCAUCUGAUAUAGGAAUUGCUCCUGCAUUAGUAAUAUAUCAUCCAGUUUCUGUAUGAAUAAAAUCCAUGAUGAAAGAGUUU
rnacentral:sRNA from 1 species